rnacentral:rRNA from 1 species
CCUACGGGAGGCAGCAGUGAGGAAUAUUGGUCAAUGGACGAGAGUCUGAACCAGCCAAGUAGCGUGAAGGAUGACUGCCCUAUGGGUUGUAAACUUCUUUUAUAUGGGAAUAAAAUGUUCCACGUGUGGGAUUUUGUAUGUACCAUAUGAAUAAGGAUCGGCUAACUCCGUGCCAGCCGCCGCGGUAAUACGGAGGAUCCGAGCGUUAUCCGGAUUUAUUGGGUGUAAAGGGAGCGUAGGUGGAUUGUUAAGUCAGUUGUGAAAGUUUGCGGCUCAACCGUAAAAUUGCAGUUGAAACUGGCAGUCUUGAGUACAGUAGAGGUGGGCGGAAUUCGUGGUGUAGCGGUGAAAUGCUUAGAUAUCACGAAGAACUCCGAUUGCGAAGGCAGCUCACUGGACUGCAACUGACACUGAGGCUCGAAAGUGUGGGUAUCAAACAGGAUUAGAUACCCGAGUAGUC